AAUAACUCCAGAUAAAAUAAACAAAUGAAAUAUGAAAUAUACAAAUAUACAAAUAAAUAUACAAAUAAAAUGAAGUAAAAAUCAAUUAAAAAUGAUCCUCAUAAAAUACAGUUCAAUCUGGUGAAUGGUGAUUACGUCAAGCCUUCGGCGCAGGAAGAUUUUCUCAAGCAUUUACACCAGAAAAAGAAAAGGUCUGGCAAAGCAGCAGCUGUUAGAAACGGGGUGGAGUCAGGGGGCGCGAUCCACUGCUCGUUCGCUCCGCUUUACGAAAGUGCCUGGUGCAGGAUCCAACUUCACUUGGAGUUCAGUGUGGAAGCAAUGCGUUGAUCAUUCAAGUUUACCUGCACAUCCUCUUUAAAUACACACCUGGUUACCUACCUCAUUGGCUGGUACCAGGUGCAUCAAUCAGAGAAGGCUGAGCCUUCUACUUGCCACAAUCAUGAAGGACGCUUUCGAUCAAGUCUAAAAGCAGCAUCUGAUUAAAAAAAA